rnacentral:lncRNA from 1 species
AAAUAUGAAUUUCAUAUUUAUGAAAUAUAUGCCUUGUUAUGAAAAGAAUAAUUUCAUGAUUGUUUUACUAUUAAAUAUUAUUUAUGGGUUAUGAACUUUAUAAAAUUAUCUAGUAUGUUAUUUAUGCAUGAUUUAAAAAAAUAUGAUUUCAUAAAAUAUAAUUUAAGAAUAUUUAUUUUAAAAAAUAUAAAAAAAGGCUCUCAGAUAGCUAUGUAUGACUUUGUCAGUGGAUAAUAGUAAUUGAUAUAUGACCCUGCC